CGCGCGGCCGCCGCCGAGCCCCAGCCGCCGCGCGGCGCUGCGCCCAGCGCACAAUUCCCGGAAACCCAGAUACCUGAGUGCACGCACCCGUGCAUACACAGCGUACACGAGCGUGCAUCCAUGUUUACACAGGCCGGGGUGGUUUACACUUCGGGGAAGGACUCCUGUGCACACAUCUACACACAUAGGAAGUUUAGGAGAAGAGAACUACACCAUACGGAGGCACAGGACACGCUCAGGGUCCCAAGUAAGGAAUCCCAGACGACACCCCCGUCCCCGUUCCACCCCUCACACACACACUCAAGCAGGACUCGCUUCAGGAAAGCUUCAGGAUCUGAUUUGAAUCACUGCCCAGUCCAACCCCAGUGGCACCCCCCCCCCAAUGCCUGCCGAGGGGAGCAGAAGGGUCCAGCCUGUUCCUAUUAAAAGAAAAAAAGGGGGUGGGGGUGGUGCAGUAUUUGAAAGUUUUCUUUUUUCAAAGACAUUUCUCAAGGGAUUUCCUUCCAUCCUCUCCUCUUCCUCUCUUCCAUUCCACUCCCUCCACAAUGACCCCCCCUUUGCACCCCCCCCCCGCCCGUCCCUAUGAGUCAAACUUCAGCAAUGUGCCCAGUGUCCCCCAGUGCAUUACAGUGGAUCACAGAAAUGUUCCAGUCUGUGAGUCGGAAUGCAGCCGCCUCCAGCCCUCCCUCAGCUAAUAAACUCAGCUGAGGGCUGGCUUUGCACUACAGCCCUCCUUGCCUCUCCCCCAAUCUCUUCUUAGCCGACGGAGGUCAGAUUCAAGGGUCAGGGGCUGAGGACCUUCCCACUGCGCUGCCUGGCUUGGCUUAUCAGUUCGUUGCCUCCAGCAAUCUGUUGGGUCAGAAAAGUGGGGCCUGGGACGGGGAGAGGUCAUCCACCAGGAACACUGGGCUCCCCUGCAUCUGAGGUGCCCAGCCACUGAAAAAGCAGCUUCUUUCUGAUCACAUUCUACUCACUGAGUCCUAGGAACUCCGGGCAUCUUUAGAAAGGGAAACGGAGACAGAGCUAGAGAUGAGUUGAGUCUUUUGGCCAUGCUGCUGAACAGCCUCAGUGACGGGUCAGCAGGUCUCCCUACCUGUCCACCUCUUGAUGUUCAGCAGCUGACUUUAACCCCUCUCUACCCGUUCAUGUGUACCACCAGCUCUUUAGGAUCCAUGGCCUCUUGCAGUGUGGUACCACACGCAUCCCUGCCCAGUGCUUCUUGCUAGGUUCCUCGGCCGAAUUGACUAUGAUCACAUCCCUGUCUGCUAGCUGCUCCCCAUUCCGUCCUCACACUUACCCACUUCCUAGCCUUGACCUGAGACACUCCCGACAGGGCAAAUGCCCUCGGCCCCCUUUCUCCCGUGGUAUUGACAUCCCUUGACUUCACAGUACUACCUCCUUUGAAAUGUUCCGUGAUUCCCAUAGCCGGGAGGAUUUUCCUUUCCCUUGAAGGACUCCACCCCAGCACUAUAGGUUUUUCUCUCCACACUGACCUUCACCCAUCUAGUCUAGUCGCCUUCCCCACAAGCAUUCGAGAAAAGAUGCCAAGCUUGAGGGUACUACCUCAGUCGUGGCUGCGGUUUCUCCCAGUGCUUGGCACAGAAUUCAAACUCGGUGCGUUCUUGGUUGAAUGAUGACAGAUGUUCAUGGCCUCCAAGGAUCAUCUUCCGGCUGGACAUCUCUUUUACAGUCCAGUGAUUGAGCCAUAUUGGCUCUGCAAGACACGCUUGCCCUUGUACUGAGCCCCCUUUCCAAACUUCCCUUAGAGGCCUGCAGCCCUUCAGAAAAACCACUGGUUAGAGCAGACCGCCAUCCUCUCUCUCUACUUCCCUCCUCCUGUAACCAUACAUCGUCCCUACGCACCUGUCUCCCUUUCCUGGGGCUGUCACGGUGCUCAGGUUCUUCUUUGGUUUGUUUUUUAUCUCCUUGUUGGCUGAUUUCUGCAAAUGCAGCAUUCAUGUAUUUAUUUGUGAAUCUGCCUUUUCUUUUUAUUCUAACCACUGACUUCUGAGUGCUUGGAGUCAAGAUGGGUGGCUGCCUGUCUAGGUUCACAGUGCCUACCUAACCUGUGGCUUUUUCGGCACACCCCAGGACUCACUGCCCUCAAAGUGUAGGCAGAGAGGAAAACAUCAUGUACAACAAGUGUCUGGGAUGCUGAACUGGGUCUCUCCUGCUGCUGCCAGAUUUACCUAGGACUCCCAACAGCUCCCGCGCUACAGUGGAUUCCCAAGCCAGUUUCUAACCCAUGCUCCCUAGUGGCAUAUGUUAGCUUCCAGGAACCCCUAGAGAUACAACAGAAAAAGGCCGGCUACCUCCUUCUUGCUGUGGUGGGUGGUUACCAGGGGAGGUUUCUAAAGAAUUCGCGUCUCGACUUUUUUUUUUUUAGUGGCUGGAGAGACAGCCGUGGGUGCUGGGAAGCGUCUCGACUUCUUACAGCCUGCUCCGUUGGACACCUGGUAUAAGAGACAGGCCCCAUAGGAUCCACCUCAGGUUCUUCAAAGCUCCCCUCGCUCUCUGGACAACACAAAGCCUUCAGGCCCGAACAUGAGAGAAGCGUGCCAGGGUCUUCCACGCGGUGUAGCCUGGUUAUUUGAGGUUUCUGUUGACCUCUGCGUAUCACUCCAGAUGACCCGUUUCCUGCCUCACUGAACCCAGACAUAUGGACUCAUCUCUGUCCUCCACCUUUCUCUGUUACGUGGCACAGACAGGAUCAACAGGCUGUGAACACCCAGCGUGGCGUACUUCUCCAGGAUACCACGGCAGGCUCUUCCACACAGAGGCAGGAUAAGCUGCCAUCUACAUCUACCAUGGAGGAAGCCAUCAUCACCUGAAGAGAGUACAGUACUGUCUAGGAAGAGAACCUGCAGCCCAACAAGGACAACAUAGGCUGUAGAGAGAGCAGUGACUUGAGAGGCCCCAGAGUCCCCCUUUGGAAAGGGUUCCACCAGGUUAUCAGGCCAUCGUGGGCUGGAUCAGGGAGGGGAUUCUGUUUUCACCUGCCCCUCAGGCCUGGUUAUUAGAGGGAGGGUUAACAGUGAAUCUAGCAGUCUCUGCCCUGCCAGAGCUCUCUUGCUGGGUCCAGGGGUUCAGGGUAAGAGGGCUGGGAAGGCUGGGUAUAGACAACUCCUCUUCCCUUCAAGAGCCCUGUAGUCAGGGCUCUAGAGCUUUCUAGAGUGUUUGAAGUCGUAGAGGAACAAAAAGGCAUGGAGGUGUGGCACUGUGGCUAAGGGUAAAGAUUUGGAGUCCUGGGCUACAGUUGGUCUCUUCCCCGGUAUGUAAGGCAUAUCGUUUGACCUGGAGGAGACUUAGCUCCCUCUCUGCAGACCAGGGCCAGUGGUGCUGCCAUAUUAGGGCUGCUGGGAGGCUGUGAGAUCAGGACAUGCAGUGCUCAGCACAGAGCCUGACGCAGGCUGUGCUCUGUCGGGGCUGGAGCGGGGAUGCCAGCACUGGGAAGAGCAGAAAGUCUCUCGUCUCCUCAUCUCCCUCAGCCCGUGUUUCUCUGCAGAUUCAGCCUCAGACGAGUCCUGACCUAAUUUUUGCAAGUGAAUCCAGUUGGGUCUGUAGGGUCUGGGCUCCUAACACCCUUCUGGGGGACAGGGAAGCCUAGCAAGGAAGGCAAAGGGAAUUAAAAAAAAAAUGGUACCACACUUCUGACGCUCCUGAGAUACUCAGGGAUUUUUCUUGGCCUUGAGAGGAGACUGGGCCAGACUCAGGGGACACCAUAUGAACUGCAGAAAGGGCCUGGCCUCUUCUCCAAAAUGUGGCACUGCACAUCUGGAGUGAUCUGCGCAUCUGGCUGCAUCCCUGGGGCAAUGGCCACAGCUGCUGACAUUUGAGGGAGAGAGCCAGUUCCUCAGUGGGGCCUGGGGGGGCUAUAAAUAACCAGCUAAGAGGGCCAAGGGAACCAGGUUGACCUUUGGGGGGCAGGAGCUACAGGCAAUGUCCCCCUCCCCCUUGGGUCCAGAGCCAGAGAUUUAGCAAAACAGGAAGAGGCAGUGGCAGUUGCUGGGAAAGUAAGAGUGGCCUCCCCUUCCCCCACUUGCCUGGAGCCUUAGGAUCCCAGCCAGGACCUGGGAAAGGUGGAGUCCGCUAGGCUGGAGGGAGGGGCAGGCAGGGCAGGCAGAUGGGCCUAGUCCCUGCCCUCCUGUGGCUCAGCUGGGCACAGGAAAGGGGAGAGCUGACAGAGAAAGGCAGCCUGAUGGGGUGUGCCCACGCUCCUGCCUGCCACCUCCUCCUCCUCCCUUUCUAUUCCCCAUCAGGGGAUGAGAAGGUUGGGCGCGGGACACAAAAUGUACCUAAGAUGCAAGUAGUGUACUUGGAGGCUCAGGGUCAAGGUGAGCUCACCUCCGUCUCUCAUCCUCCACCAGCCUGCAGGUAGGCUGAGACUAGAGAACUCCAGGCAGUCGGAAAGACACCUCCAGCCUUCUGCAGAGGAGGCUGAAGGGGGCCGGGACCUGGUUCAAGAUGAAUGGCGGAGAACUGACCUGUGAGCUGUGAGGAGAUCGAAAGCUGGGCUGGUCCUGUGUCCUGAACACAGGACAGACUCCUGGAAGCUAAACUCCAACUCAGAAGCAAGCCAAACUUGAAGGAAGUUUCCAGCAAAUGUGUUGCUCCGCUUUGCCUUGGGAAGGCUGGCCAUGGAGAAGCUACAGACAUCAAGUAGGUGCUUUGCCUGGCUCCCAUCUCCAGGGAACUUGACACUCACAUCCACUGGGUCAUCACUGACUCCUCAGCCUAUAGCCUGAGUGUUGUGGAAUAUUACUUAACGAUUAACUACAUAGAGAUGCGUUACAUUUGUUUAUGGUGCAUUUAUUUAAUUAUGAAACAACGUGUUGCUGUUCCAACUUGCCUGCCUAAGGCACCUGAUUGGUCUAAUAAAAAGCUGAAUGGCCAAUAGCUAGGUAGGAGAGGGAUAGGCG